rnacentral:rRNA from 1 species
AAGCCAUGCGAGUCAUUGUAGCAAUACAAGGCAGACGGCUCAGUAACGCGUAGUCAAUCUACCCUGUUGACGGGGAUAACCUCGGGAAACUGAGAAUAAUACCCGAUAGAACAUUAUGCCUGGAAUGGUUUAUGUUUCAAAUGAUUUAUCGCAAUAGGGUGGGACUGCGGCCUAUCAGUUUGUUGGUGAGGUAAUGGCCCACCAAGACUAUUACAGGUACGGGCUCUGAGAGGAGUGGCCCGGAGAUGGGUACUGAGACACGGACCCAGGCCCUAUGGGGCGCAGCAGGCGAGAAAACUUUGCAAUGUGCGAAAGCACGACAAGGUUAAUCCGAGUGGUUUCUGCUAAAGAAACCUUUUGUCAGUCCUAGAAACACUGAUGAAUAAGGGGUGGGCAAGUUCUGGUGUCAGCCGCCGCGGUAAAACCAGCACCUCAAGUGGUCAGGAUGAUUAUUGGGCCUAAGGCAUCCGUAGCUUGUUUUGUAAGUUUUCGGUUAAAUCCAUACGCUUAACGUAUGGGCUGCCGGGAAUACUGCAUAACUAGGAAGUGGGAGAGGUAGACGGUACUCGGUAGGAAGGGGUAAAAUCCUUUGAUCUAUUGAUGACCACCUGUGGCGAAGGCGGUCUACCAGAACACGUUCGACGGUGAGGGAUGAAAGCUGGGGGAGCAAACCGGAUUAGAUACCCGGGUAGUCCCAGCUGUAAACUAUGCAAACUCAGUGAUGCAUUGGCUUGUGGCCAAUGCAGUGCUGCAGGGAAGCCGUUAAGUUUGCCGCCUGGGAAGUACGUACGCAAGUAUGAAACUUAAAGGAAUUGGCGGGGGAGCACCACAAGGGGUGAAGCCUGCGGUUCAAUUGGAGU